UUUUCCGGUUGAUCCUGCCGGACCCCACUGCUAUCGGGAUGGGACUAAGACAUGCUAGUCGAGCGUUCUUUAGCCAUGAUGCAAACGCGGCGCACAGCUCAGUAACACGUGGCUAACCUGCCCUUGGGACAAAGAUAACCCCGGGAAACUGGGGCUAAUAUUCGAUAGGUGAAGAAGUCUGGAAUGAUUCCUCGCCUAAAGGGUGCGUAGGUCAUGCUUCUGUAUGCUGCCCGAGGAUGGGGCCGCGUCCGAUCAGGUAGUUGGUGAGGUAAUGGCUCAUCAAGCCUAUAACCGGUGCGGGCCGUGAGAGCGGGAGCCCGGAGAUGGGCACUGAGACAAGGACCCAGGCCCUACGGGGCGCAGCAGUCGCGAAAACUCUGCAAUACACGAAAGUGUGACGAGGUUAUCCCGAGUGCCGUCCGCUGAGGAUGGCUUUUAUCCGGUGUAAUGUAGCCUGGGGGAAUAAGGAGAGGGCAAGUCUGGUGUCAGCCGCCGCGGUAAUACCAGCUCUCCGAGUGGUGGGGAUGUUUAUUGGGCCUAAAGCAUCCGUAGCCGGCUCAGUAAGUCCUUUGUUAAAUCCACCGAUUUAAUCGUUGGAAUGCGGGGGAUACUGCUGGGCUAGGGGACGGGAGAGGUCGACGGUAUUUCUGGGGUAGGGGUGAAAUCCUAUAAUCCCAGGAGGACCACCAGUGGCGAAGGCGUUCGGCUAGAACGCGCCCGACGGUGAGGGAUGAAAGCUGGGGGAGCGAUCCGGAUUAGAUACCCGGGUAGUCCCAGCUGUAAACGAUGCAGGCUAGGUGUUGGGGCGGCUACGAGCCGCUCUAGUGCCGCAGGGAAGCUGUUAAGCCUGCCGCCUGGGGAGUACGGUCGCAAGGCUGAAACUUAAAGGAAUUGGCGGGGGAGCACCACAAGGGGUGAAGCUUGCGGUUCAAUUGGAUUCAACGCCGGGAAUCACUAGU
rnacentral:rRNA from 1 species